CAGCGGAAGGCCUAAACUCUCACAGAGCUCUGAGCUUCGACCACUUUCGUCUCCUUCUCUCUUUCAGUCUCUCUCGUGCUUCUUGUUGUUAGCAGUGUGAACAUAAAAUGAACAACUUGGUGAUCAAACGCUUUCUGGACGCCUCAUUCUUUCGCUCCUUCUCCAGACCCACUGCUUCUCUUACUUUCUUGCUUUACCCGAGACGUAACGUAGUUUCAGUGCCAUCAGUUGAGGAGGAUGGUGAAACAGUCAAUUUUCCUAGGGACAGGGAGGACACUGGAUUUUCAUGUGGUCUUAAUUGGGCUUUAGCUGGAAAAGGUGUAAUUGUGAAGGAUAAAGCAUUUAGAAACUUGAAGACUUCUGAGCUACGGCAGAAAGGUGCAACUGUUGCAGAAUCUUUGUCAGGACUUCCCGUUCUUGUUAGAGGAAAUGCCCUUGGAGGAGCUUCUGAAAUUUCCAAGCCACAAUUUAGUAAACUGCUGAAACAUGCAUGUUUUUACCCUGUCACAACACAUAUAUCAUCCGUCUCAGAUAUUUAUGUUCUUGAUGGUGCUAUUGCUUCAUCAUCAAAAUGCAGUGCAAAAGUUCGCAUAAUAAGUGAUAGUCCUUCUGCCAUAUUUAGUCUAUCCAAUGUACUAUGGAAAGUUCCCUCUCGUGCCAUUUCCCAUGAUCCUUGUCCUUUGACAGUUUAUGUUGCUUCGUCCAUAAGCCAAGGUGUGGUGGAUGCUGUUCGUCUGGGAGCUCAAGCUAAUGAGAAUGUUAUAGCUGCUGAUAUUGAUUGUGCUUCACUCAUUUUAUGUGGUAAAGCUUUUUCUGAUGCUAGUGCAACUAAAGAGGCACUAGCUACUUUAUCUGAACCUGUCAUAUCUGCACGAGGAGGCAUUCCUUUACCUGCAAGGCUUCUAGUUUCUGAUGACUCUGUGAUUCUACUAUUUGCACCUGAGGAUAUCAUCCAGAGCUGCGCAUAUCAGUUGGUCUCUGCGGAUUCAGGGGUUGUUCUUUCGUCACAGGAUGUUGCCCCAUAUUUUCCAAUUAAAAAUUCUUCAGGCCCUAGUCUUUUCAAAUUCCCAAUAGCUGUUGUCCUUGUAACCUCUGACAGAGCAGUUCUGGGACUAUUCCAUCAAUAUCAAAGCUCUCACCUGGCCAAGCAGCUUAUCACUUCCUGGCUGGCUAUCAUAAUGGGAAAUUCAUGCCUGCAUACAACAAGGGCCCUUCAUCUGUAGAUGCCUUAGAACUUGCGAAGGCUUUUCUAUCCAAGUUGAAGGACAACCAAACCACAUCCUUCCUAAUUAAUGUCAAUGAAGGUGAAAAGAGUGUUACAGGCAGGGGUAGUUCUUGACUGGGUCACACAAGCUCUUUCAUCUUUCUUUUCUGAUCCAAGCCUGACCUGGCUGUGUAGCUUUUAUUGUCAUGUGGCCUGAUCCUGACUUGAAAGAUUGCCAGGUUACACAUGGUUGGAUCUGAAAUUUUAUCCAUGGGCAAGGUUUUCCUGACAUUGGUGCAAUCAGCUUUGUCAAAGAACAUUCCAUCAUUUCAUCCCAAAGGUGGAGAUCUUAAAGGAAAGUACAAAAGCUUUUUAUCCUGUAAAUUUCAAGAAAUUCCAGAGGAGUUGUCAUUUUGAGAGUUGAA